rnacentral:rRNA from 1 species
AUUGAACGCUGGCGGCAGGCCUAACACAUGCAAGUCGAGCGAGCGGCGGACGGGUGAGUAAUGUAUGGGGACUGCCCGAUCGAUGGGGAUAACUACUGGAAACGGUGGCUAAUACCGCCUACUCACGGAUAACCCAUAUGGGAUUAGCUAGUAGUUGGGGUAAAGGCUAACCUAGGCGACGAUCUCUAGUUGGUCUGAGAGGAUGAUCAGCAACACUGGGACUGUGACACGGCCCAGACUCCUACGGAGGCAGCAGGGGGGAAUAUUGCAUAAUGGGCGCAAGCCUGAUGCAGCCAUGCCGCGUGUAUGAAGAAGGCCUUAGGGUUGUAAAGUACUUUCAGCGGGGAGGCGUUACCCGCAGAAGAAGCACCGGCUAACUCCGUGCCAGCCGCCGCGGUAAUUC